GUUUAUGUGACACGUCUGGAAGGAGUCUCCAGUGUCAGCGCUUUUGUGACGAUGCUAAGCGUGAUGGUGUGGAUGCUGUUAGACGGGAUCUUGGCGUCUUUGUCGUCUCCGCUGAUGCGAAACACGACGUGUGUGCUGGAUGGGAUGGUGGACGUCCCGCUGAGAGGUUUUCCCAGCCAGCUCCCUCUCCGGACAUCCGUGACCUUCCUGUUUGACCUUUGCAGGCCAAGCUGUUGCUCACAGCCUGACCAGGAGAAUCGAUUCAGACUCGAUUCAGUUAGACGCCACCUGGACACAAGCAUCAUCAGAAUGAUAAACCAGAACUGGAACGUCCACGAGACAAAGUCUUUCCCUCACCUCUCUUUUCUCUCUCUUUCUCUCU